rnacentral:rRNA from 1 species
UACGGAGGGGGCUAGCGUUGUUCGGAAUUACUGGGCGUAAAGCGCGCGUAGGCGGACCUGCAAGUCGGGGGUGAAAGCCCGAGGCUCAACCUCGGAACUGCCUUCGAUACUGCGGGUCUCGAGUCCGGGAGAGGUGAGUGGAAUUCCUAGUGUAGAGGUGAAAUUCGUAGAUAUUAGGAAGAACACCAGUGGCGAAGGCGGCUCACUGGCCCGGUACUGACGCUCAGGCGCGAAAGCGUGGGGAGCAAACAGG